rnacentral:rRNA from 1 species
CGUAGGGAAACCGAGUCUUAACCGGGCGUUAAGUUGCAGGGUAUAGACCCGAAACCCGGUGAUCUAGCCAUGGGCAGGUUGAAGGUUGGGUAACACUAACUGGAGGACCGAACCGACUAAUGUUGAAAAAUUAGCGGAUGACCUGUGGCUGGGGGUGAAAGGCCAAUCAAACCGGGAGAUAGCUGGUUCUCCCCGAAAGCUAUUUAGGUAGCGCCUCGUGAAUUCAUCUCCGGGGGUAGAGCACUGUUUCGGCUAGGGGGCCAUCCCGGCUUACCAACCCGAUGCAAACUGCGAAUACCGGAGAAUGUUAUCACGGGAGACACACGGCGGGUGCUAACGUCCGUCGUGAAGAGGGAAACAACCCAGACCGCCAGCUAAGGUCCCAAAGUCAUGGUUAAGUGGGAAACGAUGUGGGAAGGCCCAGACAGCCAGGAUGUUGGCUUAGAAGCAGCCAUCAUUUAAAGAAAGCGUAAUAGCUCACUGGUCGAGUCGGCCUGCGCGGAAGAUGUAACGGGGCUAAACCAUGCACCGAAGCUGCGGCAGCGAACGUAUCACCCAAGACAACUUUACGGAGUUGACGAUUGACGGAGCGAAGCGACGUCAAAGCGUUCAUUAAAGUCGAGUUGGCUUAGGGAUACGUUCGUUGGGUAGGGGAGCGUUCUGUAAGCCUGUGAAGGUGUGUCGUGAGGCAUGCUGGAGGUAUCAGAAGUGCGAAUGCUGACAUAAGUAACGAUAAAGCGGGUGAAAAGCCCGCUCGCCGGAAGACCAAGGGUUCCUGUCCAACGUUAAUCGGGGCAGGGUGAGUCGACCCCUAAGGCGAGGCCGAAAGGCGUAGUCGAUGGGAAACGGGUUAAUAUUCCCGUACUUGGUGUUACUGCGAAGGGGGGACGGAGAAGGCUAUGUUGGCCGGGCGACGGUUGUCCCGGUUUAAGCGUGUAGGUGUGUGUUCCAGGUAAAUCCGGUUCACUUUAACACUGAGGCGUGACGACGAGGCACUACGGUGCUGAAGCAACAAAUGCCCUGCUUCCAGGAAAAGCCUCUAAGCAUCAGGUAACACGAAAUCGUACCCCAAACCGACACAGGUGGUCAGGUAGAGAAUACCAAGGCGCUUGAGAGAACUCGGGUGAAGGAACUAGGCAAAAUGGUGCCGUAACUUCGGGAGAAGGCACGCUGACACGUAGGUGAAGUGAUUUACUCAUGGAGCUGAAGUCAGUCGAAGAUACCAGCUGGCUGCAACUGUUUAUUAAAAACACAGCACUGUGCAAACACGAAAGUGGACGUAUACGGUGUGACGCCUGCCCGGUGCCGGAA